GUGGGGAAUAUUGGGCAAUGGGCGCAAGCCUGACCCAGCAACGCCGCGUGAAGGAAGAAGGCUUUCGGGUUGUAAACUUCUUUUACCAGGGACGAAACAAAUGACGGUACCUGGUGAAUAAGCCACGGCUAACUACGUGCCAGCAGCCGCGGUAAUACGUAGGUGGCGAGCGUUAUCCGGAUUUAUUGGGUGUAAAGGGCGUGUAGGCGGGACAGCAAGUCAGAUGUGAAAACCAGAGGCUCAACCUCUGGCCUGCAUUUGAAACUGUUGUUCUUGAGUGUCGGAGAGGUAAUCGGAAUUCCGUGUGUAGCGGUGAAAUGCGUAGAUAUACGGAGGAACACCAGUGGCGAAGGCGGAUUACUGGACGAUAACUGACGCUGAGGCGCGAAAGCGUGGGGAGUAAACAGGAUUAGAUACCCUAGUAGUCC
rnacentral:rRNA from 1 species